rnacentral:rRNA from 1 species
UACGUAGGGAGCAAGCGUUGUCCGGAAUCAUUGGGCGUAAAGCGCGCGUAGGUGGCCUCAUAAGUCCGCUGUGAAAGUCAAAAGGCUCAACCUUUGAAAGCCGGUGGAUACUGUGAGGCUAGAGUACGGAAGAGGCGAGUGGAAUUCCUGGUGUAGCGGUGGAAUGCGCAGAUAUCAGGAGGAACACCAAUAGCGAAGGCAGCUCGCUGGGACGGUACUGACGCUGAGGCGCGAAAGCCAGGGGAGCAAACGGG